AGCGAACGUUAGCGGCGGGCCUAACACAUGCAAGUCGAACGGUAGCAGGCCUUCGGGCGCUGACGAGUGGCGGACGGGUGAGUAACGCGUAGGAAUCUGCCUGGUAGUGGGGGACAACGUGGGGAAACUCACGCUAAUACCGCAUACGCCCUACGGGGGAAAGCGGGGGAUCUUCGGACCUCGCGCUAUCAGAUGAGCCUGCGUUAGAUUAGCUAGUUGGUGGGGUAAAGGCCUACCAAGGCGACGAUCUAUAGCUGGUCUGAGAGGACGAUCAGCCACACUGGGACUGAGACACGGCCCAGACUCCUACGGGAGGCUG
rnacentral:rRNA from 1 species